UCAUCGAUAGCUCAGUGGCAGAGCGGUGGGGCGUUUACCCAUGCGGCCCGGGUUCGAUCCCCGGUCGAUGCA